UAAGAGGCCAUGUGAGCUUUUGCCAUCCCUUGGCAUUAAUUGUUGAAUCAUCCAUUAAUGUCUGGUGUACACUUUUUCAUAGAUCUUCUCUUCUGAAACUACUGUAAUUAAUUAAUUUUAACCAAACUUUGGCUAAAUGAUCCUUAGGGUAUCUAGUAUAUAUUUUGUAAUUUUUAGCUCAGUGAGGCCCGAAGGGCCCGAUGUGAGCUUACGCCAUCACUUGGCGUCCUAUGUCGUCUGUCGUCGUAAACUAUUUAAAAAAUCUUCUCCUCUGAAACUACUGGGCCAAAUACAUGUACCUUCAAACUUUAACUAAAUGUUCCUAAGGGUAUCUAGUUUAUAAAUUGUAUCCGAAGUUUUGAUCCAUUGACAAACAUGGACGCCAUGGCUAAAAAUAGAACAUACUGGUCAAAUGCAGUUUUGUUAAUUGGCCCCUUAAGGAGUUAUUGCCCUUUAAAGUCAAUUUUACACAAUUUGUUGAUCAAGUUUGCUAAUUAUAUAUAACAUUUAAAAAUCUUCUCUGAAAUACAGAUGAGCGAUUCAGGCUCUUGAGAGUCUCUUGUUAUCUUGUCCUUUAAUUAAGAAACACUGCAUAGUUUGGUAAAAAACAAUAACUUUAAUAUUUAACGUAGCAUUUCAAGAUUAAUCUGCCUUUAAAAUUAAGACCAAUCUUGAAAACCCUUGGCUAUUUGAAGUUAUUGCUCCUGCAAUAGCAAGUUCCCACAAUUUAUACAUGUUAUAUAUAUAUGUUCUUGUUAACAAUGAUUGUCAUAUUGAAAACAAUUAUAGAUAUCAUAAAGAUAAAUUUAAAACAGCAAAAUAGUAGUGUGGAUCCUUAUAUGAGUUAUUGCCCUUGAAAGACAAAAUUUUAGCAGAAUUUCAAGUUUCAUGCAGGAAGUAUGAUAGAUGUAGAGACAUUUAUUUAUGUUCAGCUAAGUUAAAGAUCUGCGAAUAAGCUUACAUCAUGACCAAAAUAGUUAAUUGAUCCUUUAUAGGAUUUUUUGUCCUUAAGAAAUUAUUUUACCAAAAGUUAUGUUUUUUUGCAGAUAAUAAUAGAAAGAAGGAAUUUUAAUUUUUUUUUAAGUGAUAAAUAUGUUCAGCAAAGUAAGAUCUGGGAAUAGGACUUGUAUUAUUUAAAUUGCCAAUUGAUCCUUCAAAGCUGUUAUUGCCCUUGAAAGAAUAUAUAUUACCAAAUAUUUUUUUCUUCGGUUUUUUGAUUUUUGAUUUUUUUUUUAUGGAAGUAUUAUAUUUCAUUUUUCAUUUUUCUUCCAAUGGGUCGAAUAUAGAAAAGCAGAAAUUUAAGUAGCCCACACCAAUUAUAGGGGCCAUUGGCGAUUGGGCCCCUGCUAAUUUAAGUUUUUCAUAGUAAAGAAGUGUCUUCAUCAGAAUUACAGUUUACAUGUGUUGUUUACAUUAAUGUCAUUAAUUAGUUCUGCACAGUUAAAUUCUUUAUAGCUGUUUAACUAAUUCACCAAUGUUUCUAUAUCUUUUGAAUCCUAUUGAUAGGUUUUUAUUGAAUUUGUCACCUAUUGUAGAAUCUAUUUUGAUAAGAUUCCAGUAUUUCCUGAAUAUUGUUUGAAGUUUUCUGCUUAAGAAUUCGAUUGAUUAUUCGUAAUGAAUGAUAUAUUUUAUCUAUUUUCAACUUUGUUCUUUUUCUAGACAUAAAUUCAUA
rnacentral:lncRNA from 1 species